GACGUAGGGGGCCAGCGUUGUUCGGAAUUACUGGGUGUAAAGGGUUCGUAGGCGGUGUGGCAAGUCGGGAGUGAAAUCUCUGGGCUCAACCCAGAGUCUGCUUCCGAAACUGCUGUGCUUGAGUGUGGGAGAGGCGCGUGGAAUUGCAGGUGUAGCGGUGAAAUGCGUAGAUAUCUGCAGGAACACCCGUGGCGAAAGCGGCGCGCUGGACCACUACUGACGCUGAGGCACGAAGGUCAGGGGAGCAAACGGG
rnacentral:rRNA from 1 species